GCGCCUCCGCGGAGCGGGAGCCGGCCCUGCCUGCGCGCCGGGCGGCGGAGCAAAGCGCGCAGCUCAGCGCCAGAAAUGCCUCGACAUCUCCCCGCCGGCCCAGCCCGGCCGCCAGCGGGGCCGGGCAGCUCGCAGUGAGGUGCUGACCGCGACUGCCGCGACGCUGUGAUACCUUAUCGGGGCAGGCAGCGUCCCCUCGUAGUGUGCGACAAGCGGAAACAGGGCCGGGAGCCAGCCGGGCCCUCUGCCAGGGCUGCCCGGCAUCCAUGAGAGCCCUGCAGAGCCCCCCGCCAAGCAUUCCCGCUCCAUUCCCUCUGGGAGCCGGGAUGGGAACACACGUGGUUUUGGAGAGCUGCCCCCGAACAUCCCCCCGGCACUUCCAGGGAUCUGCCCCGCAUCUCCACUACUGCUCGUGCCC